rnacentral:rRNA from 1 species
AGAGUUUGAUCCUGGCUCAGGAUGAAUGCUGGCGGUCUGCUUAACACAUGCAAGUCGAACGCACCUUUCGGGGUGAGUGGCGGACGGGUGAGUAACGCGUGAGAAUCUGCCUAGAGGUCGGGGACAACCAUUGGAAACGAUGGCUAAUACCGGAUAUGCCUUACGGGGUGAAAGAUUAAUCGCCUUUAGAAGAGCUCGCGUCUGAUUAGCUAGUUGGUAGGGUAAAAGCCUACCAAGGCAUCGAUCAGUAGCUGGUCUGAGAGGAUGACCAGCCACACUGGGACUGAGACACGGCCCAGACUCCUACGGGAGGCAGCAGUGGGGAAUUGUUCGCAAUGGGCGCAAGCCUGACGACGCAACGCCGCGUGGAGGACGAAGAUCUUCGGGUCGUAAACUCCUGUCGAGCGGGAAGAAGGCUCCGCGGUUGAAUAGACUGCGGAAGUGACGGUACCGCUAAAGGAAGCCCCGGCUAACUCCGUGCCAGCAGCCGCGGUAAUACGGGGGGGGCAAGCGUUGUUCGGAAUUAUUGGGCGUAAAGGGCUCGUAGGCGGACUGGUAAGUCUGAUGUGAAAUCUCCAUCGCUCAACGAGGAGAGGUCAUUGGAAACUGCCAGUCUGGAGUACGGUAGAGGACCAUGGAAUUCCAGGUGUAGCGGUGGAAUGCGUAGAUAUCUGGAAGAACACCGGUGGCGAAGGCGGUGGUCUGGGCCGUUACUGACGCUGAGGAGCGAAAGCCAGGGGAGCGAACGGGAUUAGAUACCCCUGUAGUCC